rnacentral:rRNA from 1 species
UGCCAGCCGCCGCGGUAAUACGUAAGUCGCAAGCGUUAUCCGGAAUCAUUGGGCGUAAAGGGUGUGCAGGCUGGAAAGUGUGUCUGAUGUGAAAGCCCGGGGCUUAACCCCGGAAGUGCAUUGGAAACUGCUUUUCUUGAAUCUCGGAGAGGGUAGUGGAAUUCCUGGUGUAGAGGUGAAAUUCGUAGAUAUCAGGAGGAACACCGGUGGCGAAGGCGACUGCCUGGACCGAUAUUGACACUGAGGUGCGAAAGCGUGGGUAGCAAACAGGAUUAGAUA